rnacentral:rRNA from 1 species
GACGAACGCUGGCGGCGUGCUUAACACAUGCAAGUCGAACGGAAAGGCCCUGCUUUUGUGGGGUGCUCGAGUGGCGAACGGGUGAGUAACACGUGAGUAACCUGCCCUUGACUUUGGGAUAACUUCAGGAAACUGGGGCUAAUACCGGAUAGGAGCUCCUGCUGCAUGGUGGGGGUUGGAAAGUUUCGGCGGUUGGGGAUGGACUCGCGGCUUAUCAGCUUGUUGGUGGGGUAGUGGCUUACCAAGGCUUUGACGGGUAGCCGGCCUGAGAGGGUGACCGGCCACAUUGGGACUGAGGUACGGCCCAGACUCCUACGGGAGGCAGCAGUGGGGAAUAUUGCACAAUGGGCGGAAGCCUGAUGCAGCAACGCCGCGUGCGGGAUGACGGCCUUCGGGUUGUAAACCGCUUUCGCCUGUGACGAAGCGUGAGUGACGGUAAUGGGUAAAGAAGCACCGGCUAACUACGUGCCAGCAGCCGCGGUGAUACGUAGGGUGCGAGCGUUGUCCGGAUUUAUUGGGCGUAAAGGGCUCGUAGGUGGUUGAUCGCGUCGGAAGUGUAAUCUUGGGGCUUAACCCUGAGCGUGCUUUCGAUACGGGUUGACUUGAGGAAGGUAGGGGAGAAUGGAAUUCCUGGUGGAGCGGUGGAAUGCGCAGAUAUCAGGAGGAACACCAGUGGCGAAGGCGGUUCUCUGGGCCUUUCCUGACGCUGAGGAGCGAAAGCGUGGGGAGCGAACAGGCUUAGAUACCCUGGUAGUCCACGCUGUAAACGGUGGGUACUAGGUGUGGGGUCCAUUCCACGGGUUCCGUGCCGUAGCUAACGCUUUAAGUACCCCGCCUGGGGAGUACGGCCGCAAGGCUAAAACUCAAAGGAAUUGACGGGGCCCCGCACAAGCGGCGGAGCAUGCGGAUUAAUUCGAUGCAACGCGUAGAACCUUACCUGGGUUUGACAUGGAUCGGGAGCGCUCAGAGAUGGGUGUGCCUCUUUUGGGGUCGGUUCACAGGUGGUGCAUGGCUGUCGUCAGCUCGUGUCGUGAGAUGUUGGGUUAAGUCCCGCAACGAGCGCAACCCUUGUUCACUGUUGCCAGCACGUCAUGGUGGGGACUCAGUGGAGACCGCCGGGGUCAACUCGGAGGAAGGUGGGGAUGACGUCAAGUCAUCAUGCCCCUUAUGUCCAGGGCUUCACGCAUGCUACAAUGGCUGGUACAGAGAGUGGCGAGCCUGUGAGGGUGAGCGAAUCUCGGAAAGCCGGUCUCAGUUCGGAUUGGGGUCUGCAACUCGACCUCAUGAAGUCGGAGUCGCUAGUAAUCGCAGAUCAGCAACGCUGCGGUGAAUACGUUCCCGGG